UAUGGAGUCUCACUACCCCAACUUGAAUACUGGAUUCAUCAUUAUAUAAAUACAUGUGACAUCCAUCUUUUGGAGAAAAGUAAAGCAGAAAGAACGGUAUGCUGAAACCAAAGUGAAAAAUUGUGAGCAGCAAGCAAACAGCAAGCUUGAGAUGGAAACAAGGAAAAUGGUAAUACCAAGAGUGCAAACUAUCGGGAGAACAAAACUCAGACAAGCAUCAAGGUGAAGGUGAAAGUGAAACUGCUAUGGAAGUUCAGGAGAUAA